rnacentral:tRNA from 1 species
AGGGCUAUAGCUCAGUGGUAGAGCUCAUGGUUAGCAUGCAUAAGGUUCUGGUUUCAACCCCCAGCACCUCCA